rnacentral:rRNA from 1 species
AUGAAGAAUCUGAAACCCGAAUGGCCCAACGAUCUUUCAUAUUUUUUUCCAGUAGUAAUUCUAGGUACUAUUGCCUAUAAUGUAGGUUUAGUGGUUCUCGAGCCAUCAAUGAUUGGUGAACCGGCAGAUCCGUUUGCAACUCCUCUGGAAAUAUUACACGAGUGGUACUUCUUUCCCAUGUUUCAAAUACUCCGUACACUACACAAUAAGUUAUUGGGCGUUCUCUUAAUGGUUUCUGUGCCAACAGGAUUAUUGACCGUACCUUUUCUAGAAAAUGUCAAUAAAUUUCAAAAUCCAUUUCGCCGCCCAGUAGUUAUGACCUUUUUCUAA